GACGAACGCUGGCGGCGUGCUUAACACAUGCCAGUCGAACGGAAAGGCCCUGCGUUUGUGGGGUGCUCGAGUGGCGAACGGGUGAGUAACACGUGAGUAACCUGCCCUUGACUUUGUGAUAACUUCAGGAAACUGGGGCUAAUACCGGAUAGGAGCUCCUGCUGCAUGGUGGUGGUUGGAAAGUUUCGGCGGUGGGGGAUGGACUCGCGGGUUAUCAGCUUGUUUGUGGGGUAGUGGCUUACCAAGGCUUUGACGGGUAGCCGGCAUGAGAGGGUGACCGGCCACAUGGGGACUGAGAUACGGACCAGAAGCCUACGGGAGGCAGUAGUGGGGAGUCUUGCACAAUGGGCGGAAGCCUGAUGCAGAAACGCCGGGAGCGGGAUGACCGCCUUCGGGUUGUAAACAGAUUUCGCAUGUGACGAAGCGUGAGUGACGGUAAUGGGUAAAAAAGCACCGGCUAACUACGUG
rnacentral:rRNA from 1 species